rnacentral:lncRNA from 1 species
GUUUAAAUAGGAAGAAAUGCGUAAAAGCUGUUUUUUUCGCAGAUGGCGGUAUUUUGGGCAACUGUAUGAGUUGUUAUGAUUUGCAGUUUGAUUAGAAGUAAGCAUAAUUUUAGGAAAUUUUAUGAUGUCAAAAACUUCUUUGAUAGUCGUAUCAGGGUUUUACUUUGUAUAAAGUGAUUAGCAGUUGCACCAGAAAGAAAAAUUUUGGUUUUCACACAUUUUGUUAACUUUAACUCGAAUUUCAGGAAAC